GUUUAUGACAAAUUCAAGCCCUGGCAUUUAGAACUCAACUGAAAUCCAGCUUGGUGUUUAGGCUGUUCCAUGGAUGACACCGUGAGAAGAAAACUUUCUCACAGUAUUGCUGAACUGCCGAACUAGAAGCAGAUUGACACUUUCAGGUCAAACCAAGUGGUUGGGAGGAGGGCUGGCAGAAGGCCUGUGUCCUGGAGCACAGCUGGUCACUUGAGAGAUGCCUGGUUCUGGACUGCAGGAACAAAAAUGAUUUAACUUGAUGUAUUAACACAGAUUGCUGAUGUGGGUGCAAAGCUGCAAGUGUCAUUCCUGUGGUUAAGUGAGAGGAACGUGUCUUCUGAGCUCCAUGAAAUGGGCAAAGGUGCUUUGUCCUGGACCAAAAUGAAAUGCAGUCCAUAUCUGUUCUCCCACCUCCUGAACCUCUGGGACAACAAACUCAUUCCAGGGGAAGAAGGCCAAGCAGCAGCCCUGUGGGGAUCAGGAUCCCAACACAGCUUCUGAAUGAUAUCACGAAAAGAAAAUAAAGGUUGCUGACUUUGCU